rnacentral:tRNA from 1 species
GUCCUGGUAGCUCAGCUGGAUAGAGCAAUGGCCUUCUAAGCCAUCGGUCGGGGGUUCGCAUCCCUCCCAGGACG